rnacentral:lncRNA from 1 species
CCAGCCUGGGAAUCUGCUGUGGCCUCUGGGCCUCGCACAUGCUGUUCCUUACCCCUGUGUUGUCCGUUCCCUCCUCUCUGCGUGGCAUUAAAUUCUGAUGGCUCCCAUCAUGCUUUGCAUGGACAUGAAAAAUUACCAACUUUGGGAAGCCUCCCUGGUGGUGCCGCACAGGCUACGUGUCCUAGCCAAGUGCUCAGUAUCUUCUCCCACUCCCUCCUCCCUCACCUCACGCUUGUCACACGGUAUUGCAGUUGCCUCUUUCCUCGUCUGCCUUCUUGAACGUUCUGUGAGUUACUUGACAGAGAGGACCCCUCUUCUCCAUCCCUGAUCCCCUGUGUGUGAUGUGCUUAUUACAGGAAUUCAACACAAGGAUACGUAAUGCAGGAAGAAUAGAUGGAUGGACAGAUGGAUGGAUGGACGGAUGGAUGGAUGGGUGGACAGAUGAGCAGAUGGAUGGAUGGAUGGAUGGACGGACGGAUGGAUGAGCAGAUGGAUGGAUGGGAGGACAGAUGGAUAGAUGAAUAGGUGGAUGGAUGGAUGGAUGAUGGAUGGAUGAAAAGAUUCAGAUACAGGUGCAAAGUAUUUCACAUAUACAAUCUCUUUAUUCAGUGUUUCUCCUCUUAGAAAUUAUAUUUUUCUUCCAGCGAAGGUUGGUGGGAAUCUUUGUGCUGAUAAUACCCACAGCUCUUCUCCCAUAGCAGGAUUUGAGGGAAACUUGGCAAGAAACACUGCCUCUGAAUCCAGCCUCCCUGCCGCAGCCCCAGGUCGAGCAGGUGGACCGGAACCACGGUCACUGACCAGGGUAUCUGAUCCUCUCAGUCUGAAGGAAAGUGAGAACUCAGCACAAACGCCAUGGACGGUACAGUGUGGGAGGGAGCAGCCUAGAGAGAGAAGCACGAAGCACUCGCUCAUGUCGGAGGAGGAGGAAGAGCGAUCCAUGGGCAGGGGAAUUUGAGAGAGAGACCUCCUUCAGACCCGGUUAGCGCACUGUUUUCAAAAAACCUGAAUGGAACAACCUGUUGAGAGAGCAAAGAGCGCUUGUGUUUGUGGCACACGGGAGCCUGGCGGCCGCAGGUGCAUGUCAACAGGAGACCCACGGCAGGCCUCCCCUCCACGGCCCCUCCCACACCCCAGACUUAGACAUGCUGGUACUGGACAUCCUGAGCUGCUUCAAGUUGGAACGUCACAUCCUCCAGAGUUCCAGGCGGCACUAAAGUCUCUGGGACAUGGUCAGCUGUUUAGAUGGGUUCCCAGGAAGGCUCACUGUUCUGGAAAGGUCUGUAAGCCUGUGACCUGAGCUCCUUGAGGUUCAGGGGGCAGGUCUGACUGAAGCAGAGUUUUCCCUUCCCCGGCUCAGGAGGGAUUUCCCACUUCUCCCUGGCCUUCACCACCCCGACUGCCUCCUGGAAGAGAGCUCAAGCUU